AGUGAACGCUGGCGGUAGGCCUAACACAUGCAAGUCGAACGGCAGCACAGUAAGGGCUUGCUCUUACGGGUGGCGAGUGGCGGACGGGUGAGGAAUACAUCGGAAUCUACUUUUUCGUGGGGGAUAACGUAGGGAAACUUACGCUAAUACCGCAUACGACCUACGGGUGAAAGCAGGGGAUCUUCGGACCUUGCGCGAUUGAAUGAGCCGAUGUCGGAUUAGCUAGUUGGCGGGGUAAAGGCCCACCAAGGCGACGAUCCGUAGCUGGUCUGAGAGGAUGAUCGGCCACACUGGAACUGAGACACGGUCCAGACUCCUACGGGAGGCAGCAGUGGGGAAUAUUGGACAAUGGGCGCAAGCCUGAUCCAGCCAUACCGCGUGGGUGAAGAAGGCCUUCGGGUUGUAAAGCCCUUUUGUUGGGAAAGAAAAGCAGCAGGUUAAUACCCCGCUGUUCUGACGGUACCCAAAGAAUAAGCACCGGCUAACUUCGUG
rnacentral:rRNA from 1 species